rnacentral:rRNA from 1 species
CUUAGCAGAGAUGCUUGGUGCCUUCGGGAACUCUGAGACAGGUAGCUGCAUGGCUGUCGUCAGCUCGUGUUGUGAAAUGUUGGGUUAAGUCCCGCAACGAGCGCAACCCUUAUCCUUUGUUGCCAGCGGUCCGGCCGGGAACUCAAAGGAGACUGCCAGUGAUAAACUGGAGGAAGGUGGGGAUGACGUCAAGUCAUCAUGGCCCUUACGAGUAGGGCUACACACGUGCUACAAUGGCGCAUACAAAGAGAAGCGACCUCGCGAGGGCAAGCGGACCUCAUAAAGUGCGUCGUAGUCCGGAUUGGAGUCUGCAACUCGACUCCAUGAAGUCGGAAUCGCUAGUAAUCGUAGAUCAGAAUGCUACGGUGAAUACGUUCCCGGGCCUUGUACACACCGCCCGUCACACCAUGGGAGUGGGUUGCAAAAGAAGUAGGUAGCUUAACCUUCGGGAGGGCGCUUACCACUUUGUGAUUCAUGACUGGGGUGAAGUCGUAACAAGGUAGGCGUAGCGAG